UACGGGGGGGGGCAAGCGUUGUUCGGAAUUACUGGGCGUAAAGGGCUCGUAGGCGGCCAACUAAGUCGGAUGUGAAAUCCCCAGGCUCAACUUGGGAACUGCAUCCGAUACUGGAUGGCUUGAAUUCGGGAGAGGGAUGCAGAAUUCCAGGUGUAGCGGUGAAAUGCGUAGAUAUCUGGAGGAAUACCGGUGGCGAAGGCGGCAUCCUGGACCGACAUUGACGCUGAGGAGCGAAAGCUAGGGGAGCAAAGCGGG
rnacentral:rRNA from 1 species